UUUUUUUUUAAGCAAGAAAAAUAAUUUAUUUAUAAUGAUAUAAUAAUAAUUUCAUCACAUUGGCAUUGCAGAGCUGCAGAAGGAAGCGUUUGUGUGAGACGCCACCUCGCAGCAACAGAUUACACCAUUGGAUGGGGCAAGAAAACAGGGGUUAUUCAAUACAUACAUGGAAUAUUCCUUUAAAUAUGUAUUUUUCAACGAGGAAUAACAAAAAUAGAAUAAUUCCAAUAUCUCUGUCUGUCUCUCUUUCUCUAGGUCUCUCUAAUUAUCAUCUCUGUGUCUUUAUAAGCUGCCUGUACAGCCCCCAGUACUGGGGUUUAAAUUGGGUUUGAGGGGGUUGUUUAUCUCACUUUGCUUGGGGAGUAAAGCGGAUGGAGUUUAUCAGUGAUGGACUUUAUGGGCUGUUUGUCCACUCCAAGUACUAAAACACAGUAAACUUCACCCAUCUGUCACUCCUGAAGCAAACACAACAAAGUCUUUUGGCCCAAAUCUGCAGCCACAGCAUCUCUCUAUUUCUUAUCAUUACUCUCAAUCGCUUGCUCAUAAAGCCGAGACUGUUCAAAAAUAGAACAAAGUCCUGAUAUUUUUAUGUGAUAAUGUGAUUUACUGAAGUAGCUUAAUAUAUAUCUCAAAGAGGUAGCAGCAAAGUGUUUUUAUUUCUACCCACUGUAAACUAUAAAGCAUUUAUUUAUUAAUUUGUUGACAAUAUUGGGAUUGUAAACUCACACUGCUGUUGAUUUUUUCUUAAAAAGAUGUCUCUGUGUGUACAGCUGAGCUCUGAUUGUAUCUUUAAGACCUUGACCUCUCUGCUAAGCAAUACUUUUGAUCCAUUUCCAGAUGUUUACUUUGAAGGCUAGCAACCACACUGACUAUUGACUAGGUAUCUAAAUGAUGUGACUCAAACUCUUUACAAAACAUGGACAUUAAUGUCAGAAAAAUGAAGGUGAUGCAGAAGUGCCUUAAUCCUGCAUUAUAUCUGAAGGCCACCAGAGGGCGAUAGCUGCGAUUGUUACAAAAAAAACCUAUUGGUCCUAUAGAAAUCUAUGGGGAAACGGCUCAGUCUUCAGCUCUGUAAACACACUGAGUUUAUGAGCUCAGUCACUCAUUUUCAGUCAAGAGGUCUCACAAUGACUAUCCACAUAUUAUCGGCAGUCAUCUCAGUACGCCAGAGAGUUUAUUAGGAUAUAUUUUAAAAUUUUUAAUUGUCUGGUUUAUGUGGCAGAUAUCCUAUGGUUUCCCAUACAACGAAUAAAAAAUGGAUGUAGCUGAUGUAACAUCACCCGUUGGAUUUUGAAGGCUUUAAGCUAGCAUUUGAUCAUUAUCAGCUAAGAUAUCAGCUAGCUAGCCUGGUUAAGCUGUAAUUGUUAACUAGAGGGCAAUUUAUAUAUUUGAUAAAUAGUGCAAAUAUAAUAAUAUAAUAAUAGACAAAUAAAAUACUAUCAUUGCAGUUACAAAACGUGUUGAACUAACAUCAAGCCUCAAGUGGCCGUUAGAGGAACUGCAGUUUUUAUCACUUCUGCUUGGCUUCAUUUUUCAGUGCUGGAUUUUACUUGAUAGGAGAUGGGAUUAAAGCAUUAAACGGAGGAGGGGGAGAAACAGCAAUGACAGAAAUGGGUUUGGGUUUUCUUAUAAUUAUUAUACAAAUUACAUUUCUUAGUCCUGCAGAUGAGCUGCGGUCAACUUUGUGCUGGUGGGGAUUGUGUUAUUUGUUUAUUCUGGUCUUGCACUGGCUCUCACUGGUAGCAGCUGUACUCAUAAAGUACUUAACAAAUGAAUGUCAUCAAAUUUUAUUUUGUAGCUUAUUUGGAUAAAGUGUGAUCUUUCCUUUUGCCUAUGAGGAAAUUAUCCUUGCCUGAACUCCCGCUCUCUCAACUUAACUUCCAAAUUUUCGGCGCUGCUUUUUAUUUACGUUUCCUAGCAACUGGUUCCUGUUUGGCUGCUCGAUAUCUGCAGAGGCAUGAAAUGUAAAAAUUACACCAAAUUAAUUAGCGAGCUAUUGCAGCGCCUUCCUCCUUCCUUUGUUGCUUUCUCGUACCUUUUAUCAACACGCAGGGAGGCAAAAAAAAAAAAACAGAGGUCGAGAGAAGAAAAAGCUUUUAGUGUGAUUGCUUCUCUGAGUCACGGGACAGCUAAGAAGGAAGAGAGAGAGAGAGGAGGUGAAAGGAAAGAUGAUGGACUGCAUUAUGAAUUUCAGCGUGGUAAUCCCCACAUUCAGCAGAGUCUAACCUCAGCUCUGCACAAUCAUUUUUCCUCCUUCCUAUCUUCCUUAUUCUCCUCCUGAAGGAGGGAUAAUGCUUUAGAUAUUCCAUAUAUUCCUCCUGUCAUCUGUCUUUCACACUUCAUAAAAAAUGUCAUUUUCAAAACAGUAUGUUGCCAAUAUAUUUUAGAGAAUGAAGCUUGUAGCGGUUUCUUCGAGGCGUAGCUGCUGUGUAGGCAGAAUCACCACCAUCAUCUUGAACAGACAACUAAUAUAUUGCACCCUUAGUAGCUUUUCAGAAUCAAUGAAAAGUUGGCUGUUCUGUCCCAGCAGGACCUUUUAGUCCCACACUUUGAAGAUUAACUGAAUUAACGAGAUUAUUUCAGCUUCUAAAGGAACUCCUGUUUCCAAGAAACAUUUACAAAACCUGCAAAAAAUCAGGUUCUUCUAUUAAAUGGCUAGAUCCUCACAUAAGGGAUAACACUUUUUUUUAACCAGUGUGCCCAUGUGUUCCUGCUUGUUUUUAUCUCUCUUUCCUCCCCGAUUAAAGAGAAUCUGCUGUCUGCCUACAUAAAAAGUCAAAAACACACUUUUUUUGAUCCUCAACACACACCGUAAGUGAACACCCUGUUCGACAGCCUGGCGCUUUUUUAGAUGAAAGUACGUCUCUCUUCACACCACAUGUUACAGUGCUGGAACAACACAUCCUUUUGCUCCUAACUCUGUACUUGUAUCUUCGGUUCCCGUCCCGCUGGGUUUAGCACAGAAACAAUCUUCGCAGGGUUUUUUUUGUUCGUUUUUAUCCAUCUAUUGGCCCUCGCUUCUUCUUAACAACCCACUUCACUUAUCCUAUGUCUGCGACUUAUCUGCUCUGAGGCAAAUGAGUCUUCAUGACCACACUCUGCCUGUAUGUGAAUGCAGAUUUGGGCAAUUGUUUGCCAGAUUACAUGGAAAUGCUCCCUUUUACACAUGCACUAUAGUGCAAUUUUGGCAAGAUUUACCAAAAAAAGUUACAUUGGGGUGUGUAUGUACUACCAAGGCAGCUGAAAUAAGAAAUAAAAUCAAAAGAAAAUGUAAAAAAAAAAGAAGAAAAAACACAGUAGGCGCUGCAGCAACACGCCUAUAAUUCAGUAUACAAGGCAAACAAACACAGAGUUUUAUAGGUUUAUCUUUUUUCAUUCACUAAAUAUUUAAAACAAGCGUCACUUGACUAGUCAUCAUAAAUGGUGAUAAUUUAUGCUUUUUUUCUCAGGAUGAUGGAAUACCUGAAGGACUGCUGUAGGGAAGAGAGAUGUAGCUGAAGUUUUUUUCUCUGUGGUUCCUCUUUUUCCAUCCACCAGGGGGAGCUCUGACUCAAUAGCACCGAGAAAUAAGUUUGCCAACUGGGAGUCAGGAGAUGAAAGGUUCCCCUCCUCCAUUUUUCGCAGUCCAUCCAUGCAGCAGGUUAGUCAAGUGUCAGAGCUGAACCACCGCUGAUCAGAGUCAUCUAGGCUGUCCACAUAGGCAUGGACAGACUGAUCGGCGGGUCCAUGGAUCAAAGACCGCAGGGCAUUUUGUCCGGUCCCAAAAGUCAAGGUCCUUAAUGAAAAAAAAAAACCCCAGAAAAAAAAACCACACUCAAACUUUUCCUGUUUCCGUGUCAGUACACAGAUCCCAACCAUUCAUUCAUUUGUUCAUUCAUCCAUGGCAAUUCCAUAUUUCAUGGAUACUAAAGGGAGCGAAAACAAAUGAUAAAAACUCGAGAGAAAGAAGGCAGAAGAUAAGCGCUGAUAGAAAAUGCUUUUUGCACGCUCAAACUAAGAACAGCAUCUAUUUUCUUUAACAGUCAUUCAUUGACAUUCAUCCGGUGUCGCGUCUUCUGCUGAGCUCAGAUGCAUAGACUGAAUGCAGAGAGAGGUGGAGAGGCGGAGGAGGGAGAGAGAGAAAAGAGAUGGGAGAGGCAGAGAGGCGGGAAGGCGGCGACGGGAGAGGAUGGAGAGAAGGGAAGGGAAGAAGGGCAGUGAAAGAUGGAGGGAGGGCGAGAGAAAGGUGAAAGAGAGGCGCUGCUACUGCGAGUGAGAGAGGAUGAACAUGUAGGGGAAGAAAAAGAGAGAGUGUGUGCUAUGUGCCAGAAAAAAGGUUAGAGCAGAGAAAAAGAGAGACAGAUGGAGUGUGUGCUCCAGCAGUGAUGAAAAAAGGAGGAGAACAGUGAGCGGUGAGGAGGAAGAGGAGGAGGAAGGUGGCGCAGACGUCACCUCCUCUCUGUGACCAAAGAGACGGCGGAGGAGGAGGUGGAGGAGGGUGAAAAAAAAAAAAGGAAAGUCUUUCACGCCACGUCACUCCACAUCACCACGGACGGACACACAGAGGGGAAUUUGAUUCUCAUCCAUCCUCCCGGUUCUCAGGCUAAAACCUGGGCAUCCAAGAAUUCCAAACUUGUACAGACGUUCUGGAAUGUUUACGUUCUUAUAUCCAUCCACUGAUUUCUGAAACCCUCUUUGUUCUGGAAUCUUAAUGUAACAAUGUUGAGGUCACUUCAAUCAUAAUCCUUAAUAAAAAGGGAAGGAGGGGGACGGACGUGAUAAUUUGCGCACACACACACACACACACACACACACACACACACACACACACACACACACACACACACACACACACACACACACACACACACACACACACACAUGUGUGACAUGUAUUCAGAACAGACACGAAAAUUGCAAAUGCACACAUACAUGCACUCGCCCCGUCUGUCUUUUCCCUCCCCUUGCUUUGUUC
ensembl:lncRNA